CGAGUAAGCCAGACAAUCGCUGCUGAAGGAAACUUCAGGAGAGGAAAGUCCGAGCUCCAUAGGGCAGGGUGCUGGGUAACUCCCAGUGGAGGCGACUCUAAGGAAAGUGCAACAGAGAGAUACCGCCAAAGGCAUGAUUUAUCAUGUACUGGUAAGGGUGGAAAGGCGAGGUAAGAGCUCACCAGCGCAAUGGCGACUUUGCGGCUAUGUAAACCCCAUCUGGAGCAAGAUCAAUAGGGAGACAUAUAGGGGCUGCCCGUCCCGUCUCCGGGUGUAUCGCUUGAGCCCACUUGGUAACAAUGGGCCUAGAUAGAUGAUUGUCUAACACAGAACUCGGCUUACAGACUUACUCGUUCC
rnacentral:RNase_P_RNA from 2 species